rnacentral:rRNA from 1 species
UCCGGGGGGAGCAAGCGUUGUUCGGAUUUACUGGGCGUAAAGGGCGCGUAGGCGGCGUGACAAGUCACUUGUGAAAUCUCCGGGCUUAACUCGGAACGGUCAAGUGAUACUGUCGUGCUAGAGUACAGAAGGGGCAACUGGAAUUCUCGGUGUAGCGGUGAAAUGCGUAGAUAUCGAGAGGAACACCUGCGGCGAAGGCGGGUUGCUGGGCUGAUACUGACGCUGAGGCGCGAAAGCCAGGGGAGCGAACGGG